GUUUUAGGUUUUAACUUUUUUUUUUUUGCUUUUUGCCACACUUAAAUGUUUUAGAUUAUCAGAUAAAUUGUAUUAAUAAAACAAAGUAAACCUGGCUAAAUACAAACUGCAGUUUUCAACUGAUUUUACUUUACGGGGGAAAGUUAUUCAAAACAGUCUGAUCCUAUGCAAAAAAGCAUUUGUCCCCUUCAACUUGACAGAUGUCAUCCACCAUUUGUGUUUACACCACUGUGGAUGAAUUUUGCCUACUUUACUUUGCAAAAUAUUUUUGUCAGUCGACAUUGGAGGGGCUGAAACCUGCUUAAGGCAGUACCUCAAUCCACUUUCAGACUUUGUCUGGGCCACUCCAAAAGUUUAAUUCAUUCAAUUUUUAUUUUAUUUUAUUUUAUUUUUUUACCUUUUAGACAUGAUGUGCUGAAUAAUGUGCUGUACUUUAGUGUUAUAUUGUGAAUUGAAAGCUGGACAUCCUGGACAUCAGGAUUUUCUGGUAGUCAGAAAAAUUCACGGUUUCAUCUUUUACAGCAAAAUCUUUUAUCCUACUUCAUGUUGUCAGAUAUGUGCUUAUCUGACAACAUGAUUGUUUCUGCAGCUUAGCCAGUAAUAGAAUCAGUUAAUUUGUGAACUGCUAUCCCGUCUUCCUGCAACAGGAUGCUGUGGAUAUCUUUUCCUCCCAUAAUAAAUGAAACUAUUACUUGAGAACUGAAUUUUCCAUUUACUCAGCUUGUCUUUUCUUAUAUAAAGUUUGCUUGAUAGUCAGAAACUUGUUGGUUUUACAAUAAAAGCUCAAUCAAUUUCCAUGGCAAAAUUUAGAAGUAAAAUUUUAAAACGUUAUAUGUAUGAUUAGCUAACGUCUAAAUGUUUCUUAAAUAGAAUAUUCAUAGAAUGUAUUCUUGAUUUCAUUUUUUAAAGUAAAUAUAAAGCCCAAAGAAUCCCAAGGAUGAAAACUGGGGGUAAUACUGAAUAUUAGAAAAGCUGAAUAUUUAUCAAUUAUGCAACAGAAAAUUAGUUUCUGAGAACAAUGUGACUCCUAAAAUAGAAACAAAGGCUAAUGCAGCUGCUAGUAAUCUUGAAAUACCUGUUCUGACAUUUUAUAGCCAUCGGGUUUGGAGUAAUGAACAAAUGGCAGGGCCUUUGGGCUGACCUGCUGGGCAAGUUUUGAUUUGUUUCAGCCUGCAUUAUAUGAUCCGCUCUACCCAGUUCUACUGGAAGUGUGGAAACCAUUACUGAAAGGAAGGCAGAAAAGGGUUAAAUGCUGCAAAGCUGUGAAGGAUUUUAUAAGGACGCAAAAAAACAAGGGUGGAGCUCCACUCUGCUUAUUUGCACAACACUUUUCAAACUCAAAGUGCUACAAGAAGCACUGCUAACAUAAAAAACAAAUAGGGGCAACUAUAAAGCAAAUCUAAGCUGGGAUGCAAGUAUCACAUGAAUUACCCUCACCAUUAGACAACUCAUGUGAAAGAGAGGUUUUAAGCUUUGUUUUAGAAGAAGAGGGGGUGUGAGUGAGCCCCCUAGACAGGAAGCUGAUUCCAGAGACAAGGGAGCAUUUAAAAUUAAAAGCUCUUGUUUUAGAAAUUCUGGGAACAACCAGCUUACCCGCAUACUGAGAAGGAGGGCUCUCUGUGGGACGAUAAAUGACAGGAUGUGGUUUGGCCAUUAAGAACUUACAGAGGAGUCAAUUGUUUGAACCUCGGUUAAAUUCCUGUUAGCUCAUUUAAAAAGUAACACUAUUUUUGUAGUUAUUUCUUUGAUUUGUUGGAAAGCAGCUGAUUUCCAGUCAGCAAUAUAGAGAACACUAAGCCUUACAAAACUAUUUAUAGGCCUGGAAAGUUUUAACAUUCUGACACAAUGAAAACAGAAAAAUGUCACAUACUGUACCUUAAAGAAGUAUCUCUGUCUUUCCACUUUACAGCUAAACGCAAUUGUGAAAGCCAUGGCCUCUCUGGAAUCUUUAAAGGUUGUCAGAAUCCCUGAGGAAGGAUUUAACUACAGACACAGAAAAAAACAUGGGCAAAUCAUAAUCAGCAAAUAAAUGGAGCAGCCCUGCAGAGCAUGAGAUACAAAAAGCUAUUUGCCAAUAAUCAAAAUGUCAAAUGAACAAUUAAGUGGUU